AUUGAACGCUGGCGGCGGGCCUAACACAUGCAAGUCGAACGAGCGGCGGACGGGUGAGUAAUGUAUGGGAAUCUGCCCGAUAGAGGGGGAUAACUACUGGAAACGGUGGCUAAUACCGCAUACCAUCGGAUGUACCCAGAUGGGAUUAGCUAGUAGGUGGGGUAAAGGCUCACCUAGGCGACGAUCUCUAGCUGGUCUGAGAGGAUGACCAGCCACACUGGGACUGAGACACGGCCCAGACUCCUACGGGAGGCAGCAGUGGGGAAUAUUGCACAAUGGGCGCAAGCCUGAUGCAGCCAUGCCGCGUGUAUGAAGAAGGCCUUAGGGUUGUAAAGUACUUUCAGCGAGGAGGCGUUACCCGCAGAAGAAGCACCGGCUAACUCCGUGCCAGCAGCCGCGGUAAUUC
rnacentral:rRNA from 1 species